GACGUAGGGGGCGAGCGUUGUCCGGAUUUACUGGGCGUAAAGCGCACGUAGGCGGCUCUUUAAGUCAGGGGUGAAAUCCUGGAGCUCAACUCCAGAACUGCCUUUGAUACUGAGGACCUUGAGUUCGGGAGAGGUGAGUGGAACUGCGAGUGUAGAGGUGAAAUUCGUAGAUAUUCGCAAGAACACCAGUGGCGAAGGCGGCUCACUGGCCCGAUACUGACGCUGAGGUGCGAAAGCCAGGGGAGCAAACGGG
rnacentral:rRNA from 1 species